rnacentral:lncRNA from 1 species
AGGGGUGGGGAUGAUGAAGGCAGGGGCUGCUCCUGUAGCUGAGAUCUGGGGUUGACCUUCGGAGUCAGUGUGAGGAGGUCAGAGAAUGACCGAUUUGGGUUUUAGCCUACUAACUGAUCACUGAGAGCAACCCCAUGAACAUGCUAAGCAGGAUUAAAUUUAUCAGUGUUGGGACAGCUCUGUGGAGUAGCUGGAGCCAUCCCUGCGUUUGCCGCCGGGGUUAGGGGAGAAAGAACUGCAAAGAGAGGUUCCUAUAAACCUUGCAUUCCUGAGAGUGGCUGCAUGUAAGCCCUUCCCAGCAGAGGUUGCUGACUAUCCCAAGGACUAUUCUAGUGCAGUGUGAGUGGAAGAAAGACCUUCAUUCUGGAGGAUGCUCUGCUUGGCCUGGAUGCUGCCCAUCAGAAGCCCCAGCAAGACUGUUUUCAGCAGGAAUUCCCCAGGUUUGAUGACAUCAUUCUGCUCGCUGUCCCAGUACUGAGUGUCCUCCAAGCCUCACUUUUCCCCCUGCGGUCCGGCAGAGAAUGGUGGCGUCACCCUAGAGCGAGGAUUUGCAGUCCCUGAAGGAUUUUGUUAGUUCUCCAUUACUUUUGUUACCUGAGACCCAUCUUUUCAUCCUGUUCCUCCUCUUCCUUGACGACCUGGGAUGUUUCCACACUGAGACAAAGAGGAAGAGACACAUCUAAGCAAUUCUCUACAGAUAGUCUCACUCAUCUCUGUCCUGAGUUCUCCUUGUGACAAGUCCAAAAGCUUGGCCACAGUCCUGAGGCAAAAAGUUUCAUGGAAACUGGUCUCUUGGAGUCUUUGGCAUCCCAUAACAUGGAUGUGGUCCAGAUAUGUCCUUGCAAUAGUCGUGAAGGGUUUAGUGUGCUUUCUUUCAAUAUUGUUUUUAUUAUAAGUGCCUCCAAGGAAUGAUUUGACAAAUAGCUAAGUUAGAUUGAACAUUGCUUCCUGGCCUCUACCAGUGUUCCAAUAUCCUAGGAAAUUGUUGAGCUGACCUUGGGCUUUGAAUUUCGUAAGAAUGUUACUUAUUCAGACAAAAUGCCUCCAGUGUUGAAAGAGAGAUAGUGAAAGAAAUCAGGCAUUGCAGUUUACUGGUUAAGAGUAGAAAUCUCAGAACAAGUUCUACAAAAUAAACUUGGAAUUCUCACUACAGUCAGGUAUGGCAGACUACAUUACAUAUUAAAAGAAAGUUGGUGGGCUCCUCUGUUAAAUGGAGGUUCCCUAUGGAUACUUAGAAUAACAACCAAGUCACACCCAUAUGCAGGAAUUUACAAUGGUCUAGGAAAAAGGAGGGUUGUGGUUUAAGAAGGAACUAGAGUAAAUACUUAGAAUAACAGCCAAGUCACUUCCAUAUACAGAAAUUUACAAUGGCCUAGGGAGAAGGUGGAUUAUACGAUAGACUAGAAUUGGAACUAUAGCUAGGGCGUGAAACCCUUGCCCCUGGCUUCUAAGAAUAAGCUGACCUUAGGUAGGUAUGAUUUUUAUCUCAGUUGUAAACACUGCCUGGUUCUUGCUAGCUUUUAUGUAUACAUUCCUCUGUUUUGUGUCAUUAUGCAUCAGAUGACUUCAAUGUAUCUUGGCUGAUGUGUCACCUGACUUCCUUGUUUUCUUCUGUAAUAUAAGUCUAAUGCUUGCUUUGAGACAUUACAUUCAGAUUCAACAC